rnacentral:lncRNA from 1 species
AGGGCGAUCGUGCACAGGAUUCAAGGGGACAACUUCAGCUGUGAAAAUUUCUCUGUACUUUCUUCAUUAGAAACUCGAACUCUGAAGUAGGGGGACUGGUGUUGGGUAUAAAAUACCCCCCUAGCCGAAGUUCAUGCCAGGAGUGACCCUCCAGGGGUUCUACCGAUGUCCGACCUUCGACGACAUCUUCCCGAACCUCUCCGGCGGCCGAGCCUCCGUAACGUUCCCACGUUCUGCCGACGGAUAAACUGCCACCAGUGUAGGCCGGAUUCUC